UGGGUUUGUGGCCGACAGAGACAUGCUGGAGCACAUCAUGUAUGACUUUGAUGACCCUGAAGUGAUGGAAAUGCUAUGGGAAGCAAGGCAAGACUCCAGAAUCAGCACAGUCCGCAGCAGUCCAAGAAGGAGCAAAGGGGCCAGCCAGUCCUGUGAUGGACCACACACUUUACUACCAAGGACACUUAUACACUUACAUACACUUACAUACAGUCCAAGAAGGAGCAGAGGGAGUCAGUCCAGGGCCAGCCAGUCCUGUGAUGGACCACACACUUUACUACUAAGGACACUUAUACACUUACUUACAUACAGUCCAAGAAGGAGCAGAGGGAGUCCGUCCAGGGACAGCCAGUCCUGUGAUGGACCACACACUUUACUACCAAGGACACUUAUACACUUACAUACACUUACAUACAGUCCAAGAAGGAGCAGAGGGAGUCAGUCCAGGGACAGCCAGUCCUGUGAUGGACCACACCCUUUACUACCAAGGACACUUAUACACUUACAUACACUUAUAGUUUACAGUCGAGUUUCUUUAGUUAGUUUUUUUUUGUCAUUUAGUUCUCAGUUAAUUUUGUUACUUAUUUCUCCAUUUAUUUAUUACUCUCUCUCUCUCUCUCUCUCUCUCUCUCUCUCUCUCUCUCUCUCUCUCUCUCUCAGGUCAUAAAGUGA